UUGAUGAUGAUGAUGAUGAUUAUGCCCUCCUUCUAAUCUUCCCUUUCUUCUUUACUGCUGGCUUCUUUUUCUUAUCAUUCUUUUUUUCCUCUUAUUAGUUAAAUAAAGGGGUGAAAAUCCCAUCUCAAGACAGCACUAACUCAUAGGUAUUCUCUCUUUCUGGCUUUAUCUUUUCCAGUUGUCUACUACUCAUCCCUCCUUUUAACAUCACCUUCAUCUUUCACCAAACUUCUCUUGCUAUCCCUCUCUCAUCUUGUCUUUUCAAUUGCCCCAUUCCUCUCUCGUGGUAGUGUGUGAGUGAGACGGAGGGAGGAAAAGGGUAGGUUAGAGAAUCUCAGUUAAUUAUCACAGAUGAAUGGUGGUCUCCAACAAAUAUCGCUGUUACUAAAAUUUGCUAACUUUCCAGUGGAUUGAAAGUGGAGUCUGAUUUUAUCGAGAGAAGAUGCAGCAAGGAGGAGGGGUUCCUAUCCAACCCCAAUAUGGAGCACCAACAAGUGAGAUGACUCCUCCUGCAACUGCUGCACUUGGCACCCACAUGCUGCUGGCUGCAGGAACCGACCAAUCUCAACAGCAACAGCUUGUAGAAGAGGCCUCCCCCAUUAGCAGCCGACCUCCAGCCACUGCUGGGAAUUUAGAUGAAUUUAUGAGGCUGUCAGGUAGCGGCGAUGAAGCAGAUCGAGCGGAAGGUGUUGCAAGCAGCAACAGGUGGCCUCGUCAAGAAACUCUAGCACUUAUUCAAAUUAGGUCUGAUAUGGAUGCUGCUUUUCGUGAAGCCACCGUCAAGGGUCCCCUCUGGGAAGAUGUUUCCAGUGAAAUAAUAUGAGGGAGCUAUUCUUUGAUCAGAUCUCCAUCUCUCUUGUUAUGCAAUCAGACGCACAUGGCUUCUAUCUCUUUCCAUCGCAGCUCACGAGCUCAGCAUCUUGCCUAUAUAUAUAUAUAUAUAUAUUCGAAUAAAUUUUUUUAACAAACAAACAAAAUUGGCCGUGACUCAUUUCCUUAUAACCCCUGUGCUUUUCUUAUUUUGUUUUUCACUUAUUUUAGUAGCUUCAAUGGAAAAUCGAAAAUCCUGAAAGUAAUAGGAAUUUUCCACAUUUUAUUGCCCAUUAAUUUGUUUUCAUUGACUA
rnacentral:misc_RNA from 1 species